rnacentral:rRNA from 1 species
AUCAGACCUCUGAUCAGGAAAGAM